ACCUGGGUGGCUCAGUUGAUUAGGCAUCUGACUUGAUUUCAGCUCAGGUCAUGACUUCAGAGUCGUGGGAUCGAGUCCCACCUCAGGCU
rnacentral:tRNA from 1 species